rnacentral:rRNA from 1 species
GACAGAGGAUGCAAGCGUUAUCCGGAAUGAUUGGGCGUAAAGCGUCUGUAGGUGGCUUUUCAAGUCCGCCGUCAAAUCCCAGGGCUCAACCCUGGACAGGCGGUGGAAACUACCAAGCUGGAGUACGGUAGGGGCAGAGGGAAUUUCCGGUGGAGCGGUGAAAUGCAUUGAGAUCGGAAAGAACACCAACGGCGAAAGCAGCUGGCUACACGAAUAUUGACACUGAUGCACGAAAGCGUGGGGAUCAAACAGG